rnacentral:rRNA from 1 species
CCUACGGGUGGCAGCAGUGAGGAAUAUUGAUCAAUGGACGAGAGUCUGAACCAGCCAAGUAGCGUGAAGGAUGACUGCCCUAUGGGUUGUAAACUUCUUUUAUAUGGGAAUAAAGUGUUGCACGUGUGGCAUUUUGUAUGUACCAUAUGAAUAAGGAUCGGCUAAAUCCGUGCCAGCAGCCGCGGUAAUACGGAGGAUCCGAGCGUUAUCCGGAUUUAUUGGGUUUAAAGGGAGCGUAGGUGGGUUGUUAAGUCAGUUGUGAAAGUUUGCGGCUCAACCGUAAAAUUGCAGUUGAUACUGGCAGCCUUGAGUACAGUAGAGGUAGGCGGAAUUCGUGGUGUAGCGGUGAAAUGCUUAGAUAUCACGAAGAACUCCGAUUGCGAAGGCAGCUCACUGGACUGCAACUGACACUGAGGCUCGAAAGUGUGGGUAUCAAACAGGAUUAGAUACCCGAGUAGUC